rnacentral:rRNA from 1 species
GACGAACCGUGCGAACGUUGCUCGGAAUCACUGGGCUUAAAGGGCGCGUAGGCGGCCGGCCAAGUCGGGUGUGAAAUCCCUCGGCUCAACCGAGGAAUUGCAUCCGAUACUGGCUGGCUGGAGUCCGGGAGGGGAUGGUGGAAUUCCCAGUGUAGCGGUGAAAUGCGUAGAUAUUGGGAAGAACACCGGUGGCGAAGGCGACCAUCUGGACCGGAACUGACGCUGAGGCGCGAAAGCCAGGGGAGCGAAUGGG